AGAAGAUCAGAACUUGGGAAAAUAUAGAUUACGUAUCCAAGAAAUGCAAGCACAAAUUCAAAUAGAAGGAGGAGAAAUAAAUAUCCUCCAAAUACCAAGGGAGGAAAAUCGUGAAACUAAUGAUCUGGCUAAAGCACUUCUCACAACGGAUCCCUCUAGAAGAAAUAACAAUGCCAACAGUGGACAGAGAGGAAGAAGCUUUUCCAAUUGAAGUAGGAGAAACAUGGAUGAUGCCAAUCUUUUACUACUUUGACCUAGACACACUUCUACAAGAUUAACUUAAAGCCAAAAAGAUAGUACAAAGGUCAGUAAUAUAAAACAUAUUUGACGGAUGGCUACACAGACGGUCUUAUCUCCAACCAUGGCUAAAUGCAUCAGCAGAUAAGACAUUUUGUUAGUUCUGCAUGAGAUCCAUGAAGGAUUAUGCUGCACCCAUGAAAGAGUAAGAACGAUUGCUAAGAAA
rnacentral:misc_RNA from 1 species